rnacentral:rRNA from 1 species
UACGUAGGGUGCAAGCGUUGUCCGGAAUUAUUGGGCGUAAAGAGCUCGUAGGCGGUCUGUUGCGUCGGCUGUGAAAACCCGGGGCUCAACUCCGGGCCUGCAGCCGAUACGGGCAGACUAGAGUUCGGCAGGGGAGACUGGAAUUCCUGGUGUAGCGGUGAAAUGCGCAGAUAUCAGGAGGAACACCGGUGGCGAAGGCGGUUGCCUGGGGCUUUGCUGACGCUGAUGCGCGAAAGCGUGGGGAGCGAUCCGG